rnacentral:rRNA from 1 species
ACGGAAGGCAGCAGUGGGGAAUAUUGCACAAUGGGGGAAACCCUGAUGCAGCGACGCCGCGUGAAGGAAGAAGUAUCUCGGUAUGUAAACUUCUAUCAGCAGGGAAGAAAAUGACGGUACUUGACUAAGAAGCUCCGGCUAAAUACGUGCCAGCAGCCGCGGUAAUACGUAUGGAGCAAGCGUUAUCCGGAUUUACUGGGUGUAAAGGGAGCGUAGACGGCUUUGCAAGUCUGAAGUGAAAGCCCGGGGCUCAACCCCGGAACUGCUUUGGAAACUGUAGAGCUAGAGUACAGGAGAGGUAAGCGGAAUUCCUAGUGUAGCGGUGAAAUGCGUAGAUAUUAGGAGGAACACCAGUGGCGAAGGCGGCUUACUGGACUGUAACUGACGUUGAGGCUCGAAAGCGUGGGGAGCAAACAGGAUUAGAUACCCUGGUA